GGAAGUAUGUCCGAAAAUAGGUACCACCUUGAUAGGGUGGCCACAGAGUGUACACCCCUCUUACUUCCU
rnacentral:tRNA from 2 species